rnacentral:rRNA from 1 species
GAUGAACGCUGGCGGCGUGCCUAAUACAUGCAAGUCGAGCGAACGGACGAGAAGCUUGCUUCUCUGAUGUUAGCGGCGGACGGGUGAGUAACACUUGGAUAACCUACCUAUAAGACUGGGAUAACUUCGGGAAACCGGAGCUAAUACCGGAUAAUAUUUUGAACCGCAUGGUUCAAAAGUGAAAGACGGUCUUGCUGUCACUUAUAGAUGGAUCCGCGCUGCAUUAGCUAGUUGGUAAGGUAACGGCUUACCAAGGCAACGAUGCCUAGCCGACCUAAGAGGAUGAUCGGCCAGCCGGGAGCUGUGAGUAGUUCCGGACUCCUGCGGAAGGCAGCAGUAGGGGAUCUUCCGAAAUGGGCGAGAUCCUGAUUGAGCGGCGACGCGCGAGUGAUAGAGGUGUUCGGAUCGUAAGACGCUGUUUAUAGGGAAGAAGAUAGGUGUAAGGAACGGUACAUAUCUGGACGGUACCUAAUCAGAAAGCCACGGCUAACUACGUG